UUGCCCUACGGGGGGCAGCAGUGGGGAAUAUUGCACAAUGGGGGAAACCCUGAUGCAGCGACGCCGCGUGAGCGAUGAAGUAUUUCGGUAUGUAAAGCUCUAUCAGCAGGGAAGAAAAUGACGGUACCUGACUAAGAAGCCCCGGCUAACUACGUGCCAGCAGCCGCGGUAAUACGUAGGGGGCAAGCGUUAUCCGGAUUUACUGGGUGUAAAGGGAGCGUAGACGGCAAUGCAAGCCAGAUGUGAAAGCACGGGGCUCAACACCGGGACUGCAUUGGGAACUGUGUAGC
rnacentral:rRNA from 1 species